GACGAACGCUGGCGGCGUGCCUAAUACAUGCAAGUUGAGCGCUGAAGGUUGGUACUUGUACCAACUGGAUGAGCAGCGAACGGGUGAGUAACGCGUGGGGAAUCUGCCUUUGAGCGGGGGACAACAUUUGGAAACGAAUGCUAAUACCGCAUAAAAACUUUAAACACAAGUUUUAAGUUUGAAAGAUGCAAUUGCAUCACUCAAAGAUGAUCCCGCGUUGUAUUAGCUAGUUGGUGAGGUAAAGGCUCACCAAGGCGAUGAUACAUAGCCGACCUGAGAGGGGUGACGGCCCACUUUGGAAUUGAGCACCGCCCCAACCCCUUCGGGGGGCAACAAGAGGGGAACUUCGGCCAAUGGCGGAAGGCUUGCCCAGGAAAGCCGCGGGGGGGGAAGAAGGUUUCGGAUCGUAAAACUCUGUUGGUAGAGAAGAACGUUGGUGAGAGUGGAAAGCUCAUCAAGUGACGGUAACUACCCAGAAAGGGACGGCUAACUACGUG
rnacentral:rRNA from 1 species